rnacentral:rRNA from 1 species
UGGGGAAUAUUGGACAAUGGGCGCAAGCCUGAUCCAGCCAUGCCGCGUGGAUGAUGAAGGCCCUAGGGUUGUAAAGUCCUUUCGGCGGGGAAGAUAAUGACGGUACCCGCAGAAGAAGCCCCGGCUAACUUCGUGCCAGCAGCCGCGGUAAUACGAAGGGGGCUAGCGUUGCUCGGAAUCACUGGGCGUAAAGCGCACGUAGGCGGACUCUUAAGUCGGUGGUGAAAUCCUGGAGCUCAACUCCAGAACUGCCUCCGAUACUGCGAGUCUCCGAGUCCGGGAGAGGUGAGUGGAACUGCGAGUGUAGAGGUGAAAUUCGUAGAUAUUCGCAAGAACACCAGUGGCGAAGGCGGCUCACUGGCCCGGUACUGACGCUGAGGUGCGAAAGCGUGGGGAGCAAACA